rnacentral:tRNA from 1 species
GUCUUGUUAGCUCAGCAGGUAGAGCAUCUCACUUUUAAUGAGGGGGUCGCUGGUUCGAAUCCAGCACAGGACACCA